AGGGUUCGAUUCUGGCUCAGGAUGAACGCUGGCGGCGUGCUUAACACAUGCAAGUCGAACGGAAACUACUCGCCGAAGCGAGCUUGCUCAAUUCUUGAGUAGUUUAGUGGCGGACGGGUGAGUAACGCGUGGGUAACCUGCCAUAUGCUGGGGGACAACAGUUGGAAACGACUGCUAAUACCGCAUAAGCGCACGAGACCGCAUGGUCUAGUGUGAAAAAACUCCGGUGGCAUAUGAUGGACCCGCGUCUGAUUAGCUAGUUGGUGAGGUAACGGCCCACCAAGGCGACGAUCAGUAGCCGGCCUGAGAGGGUGAACGGCCACAUUGGGACUGAGACACGGCCCAGACUCCUACGGGAGGCAGCAGUGGGGAAUAUUGCACAAUGGGGGAAACCCUGAUGCCAGCGACGCCGCGUGAGUGAAGAAGUAUUUCGGUAUGUAAAGCUCUAUCAGCAAGGAAGAAAAUGACGGUACUUGACUAAGAAGCCCCGGCUAACUACGUGCCAGCAGCCGC
rnacentral:rRNA from 1 species